rnacentral:rRNA from 11 species
AAUUAUUACCAUACCGUCCAGAACAGACCUGAUCUCAUCUGAUUUCAAAAGCUAAGUAGGGCCAUGCCUAGUUAGUAUUUAGGUAUGAAACCAGAAGAGAAUCCCAGGGAUCUCCUGGCAGCAAUCAAAA